UCGAGUCAGGUCCUAGUGGAAGUGCAGCCACGGCGUCCCCACGGUUAGCCGUGCGACCAUCUCUUCUUGUAGAGUUUAGAUCCAAUUCUUUAGGUUAAUUGUAUUGCUUAAUGUAAGUGAUUGAUCAAUUCCUUCUGUUUCAGGUUGAUGAUUGAGAAUCAAAGAACAACACAAAGCUUUUGUUCACCCGGUGUUCGCUGAUCUACUCACCGGGGAGGGAACGGCAUCCCUCAAAUGAUUCACUAUCAUUUCAAUCAAGCUUACAAGAUCACAACAAUGGUGGAUCUAUUCAAUGCGGAGAUCGGAAAGUCGCCGCCGGAAUGGUAUCUCCAACCGUGUAUCGCUUUCGCAACUCCUUCGAUCUUCACUCUCACAACCUUGAGCUAAGUCUCUGCUCUCUCUCUCUC
rnacentral:lncRNA from 1 species